AAACUGCCUUCUGGUCCCGAGAGGCUGCUGUGUUUGGGGUCAGUCACCUGCCCCAAGCAGCCUGUUCAGGUAUAGCAGGCUCCUGUCAAACAGUGAGGCCAGAGGGUGCAGGGAAUUGGGACAUUCUGCUCUGGUGGCUCUGGGUGCCAGUGGCCAUGUGGCUUUGCUCAUGCUCGCUCUAAGACCAAGUGGAAGCUCAUUCCCUGCUCUUCCUGGGCCGUGGAGGCCCCUUGGGGGUGCAACCCGCUGCAGCUCAAUCCGCUUCCUGCAGCCGAGGCCUGUAGGAAGCAGGGGUGGUGCUGGAGCUGCACCGGGCAGC
rnacentral:lncRNA from 1 species